UUUUUUUUUCUUUUUCUGUUUACCAUUUGCCACGGUUCUAUUUCAGUUGAUUAGUCAAGCACUGUUUACCAGGGCUAGGCAUGGUUAAUGUGCUUAGAAUAAACCUCAAAGAACAGAGUCUCUGCAUCUAAGGAGUCUCCAUCCUACAUCCACUGAGGUAAAAUUACUUCCACUUUUGACAAGUUUUGUCUUAUAAGGACCUUAAAUGGACUUGUUAGACUACCUAUAAUAAUAAUUAUAAUAAUAAUAAUAAUGAUUAUUAUUAUUAAUUGCAUAAUUCCCUCGUAGGCAUUAAGAAUAAAAGUGAAAAAAAAUCUUUAGUCAUUUUCCUUUUGUCCUGUAACAUUCAACUUGUCAAGUGUUCUUGCAAACAAAAUCAAAUUGUUCAGAUUGUUCCUCUUCAUAAAUAUUUUGCACGUGAACAAAACAGUGAUGUGAUUCAUCAUGUCUUGAACACUGUAUCUUAUCUGAUCUCUUCUUCAAAAAAACAGCAAGGGGAAGAAAGCCAAAAAAUUUUAAAAUGAUUUAGGUAAGAAUCAUGGAGUAGUAUCCGUGGAGAUACAAACAUCUGUAAAAUGGACCACCAGUUUCAAAUAUUCUGUGGGCAGGAGUUGCCUAUGUACAGACAGAAGCUCACUAAAGAACUGAGAUAGAAUGACUUCCUUCCCAAUCCAGAAAAUGCAAGUGUUUCUGAUCUGAGUUGAAAGUUAAGCCCGAGUUCUCGUUAGAUGUCCUACCAGCUUCUAACAAAGCAAAGAGCUCGACUUCCCUUGGCACAACAUGCGCUUUUGCUCUAUUUAUCAGCUGGCUUUAAUGUUCUCUCUUCUGAGCCUUCAAGUUUCUGUGACCUUAAUAUGACAUUUUAGUCGGGUGAUUAAUCGCCAUUAAAUGGCACUGCACCGAUUAAACGAAGGCCUUGUUGGCACACUAGUCAGUUACAAUGCAGCGAUUCACUGUGAUAAGCUUAAACAUACACAAUUAGAUGUAGUAAUAUCCAAUUUGUCAAAGCUCUUGCGGCUUAAUUUUCUGCCACAAAGCUUGAAAGAAACAGUGACGAGACCAAAAGCUGCAGAUUUAUUGCUUAAGUACCUUCCAGUAAAUUGAUCUUGCCCAUCAUGUAAUCUCAUUUUGGACAUUUUGGGAGACAGUGAAGCUCAACUAGCCUGCAACCUCCUUAAAAAGGGGCCCGAGGGUUCCUGAUCGCAGAACUUGAAAGCUAAGCCACAAGUAUGAAUGUCUUUUCAGAGGCAGACAACAACCCAUUUGCCUGGCCAGAGCUUUCCUUUUAGGAUAAUUGCAUAAAAAGAAUAAAUGUCAGUAAAAGGAUGAAAGAUUCAUGAAGGGAAAUAAAAAUAUAUACCGGGUCCUGAAAACAUCAUACUGGAACAGCCCAUAGCUCUAUUAUGUGGAAAAUAAAACAGGAGCAGCUGAUAUGUCUUUUAAAUGGGUUAUUACAAUCAUAAUUAUCUUAUCCUAACAAUAGUUAGUUUUUCUGCCAUAUGUUUCCAAGACAGCCUAGUACUAUCUAAUUGGAGAAAAAGAAGAUAUCCUUCUCUUGCAAUUUUUGAAAAAACAAUUACUUUCCCAUUUGAUAAAUAGAAAAGGAGUAAAUAGGAACAUUUUCUUCAGAUUAACUAUGAAAAACAUCUACUAUUUUAGUCUGAUAAAUAUACAAAGAAUAGAGCUUGCAUUCAAUGAAUAUUCCACAAACAUUUAUUUGAUUAUUGAAGACAUUGCUCUAGAUGUCAGGAAAAUAAAAAAAUUAGUGAGAUGAUGGUCUUUGUUCUGAAGCCUCUAGUGGAAUAUACAAACAUAUGCAUAAUCAUAAUAUUAGACAAAAACUAUAUUUUGAAAGAAGCACAAAGGAAGAGAUUGAUCUUAUGUGGAACAGUAUAGAAGGCAUAGGAUAGGUUCAGGAGGAGGGACAAAAUUCACAAGAACUACUAAGUAGGUAAUAUUUGAGCAAGACCUUGACAGAAAAGUAGAAUUUUAGCCCAUGGAUAAGAGGCAUUAUAAGGAGCAGGAGGGGGGGCGGGAACCAUAUAUAAAGCCUGAUGCUGUAAAGGUAUAAGGGGAAAUUAUUUUAUAUCUAAGAAAAUAUUUUAUUAAAUAUUUACAUAAAUUUCCACUCUUUCAUCUCCAAAGUUGGUCUCCUCAUUAGAAUAUAGACUAAGUAUUCCCCAAAGCACUGUUUCCCAGACAAGAUGGAAGGUUUUUUUCUCCCUUGUGGAACAAGCUCAAUCAACUGUGAGCUGGCACUCGAGGGCAGGUAGGUAUCUCUGUGCUCCACCAGGUCAUACAGGGACCCAGGCUCCUUAUACCUUUUGCUCUGUUAGCCUCAAUAUUGCCCUCAUCCAAAAGAUUGAAGCUAGCUCACUAGCAUCACAUCCAU
rnacentral:lncRNA from 1 species